UUAUGGGACCAACUUCUGUUGGUGAGAGAGACAAGCUUUCAAGCAACACGGAGCUCUUCUUCAGGUCACGGAAACUCACUCAGCGUGCAAAAAUGAACACUGUCUUCCUUGCGCACAGUUUAACAGUGCUGAGUCUCAUGAAUGGAUGGUUAAAAGGGAAAUAAGUCACCCAUGAAGUCCACAUUUAGAAUCCAUGAGAGCACAUUUGGAAUAUUUUGUGUUAAUUACUGAGUUAUGAUGUCCCACUAGCGCAGAUAUGAGAGUUGCAAUAAAUUCCUCUCUGGAGAGCACUGGACAGAAAAGAUACUAUGAACUGGAACUAAACUCAGGCAUCAGUCAAACAUCAGGCUACAAACAAUGGCAUUUCAGAGUCAUGUACUGUAUUACUGACAGUUAUCUUUCUGUAAUAUACACAGGUUUUUGGAAUGCAACCCACACAGUAGUCACUAUUUCCCCAGCCAGGAUUGUUGAGCCCGCCAUUCACCACCCUAAGAAUGAUAAUAUGCUAACAGAGUGUGUGCAGCACUCACCAAAACCCUGAGAGAUGACAGUCACCGGUGGCUUCCCAGGACACUAAAUAGGAAGAAGUAGUGACAUGACUCAGUAACACCAAGAGCCACAUUGUGAGAGUUGAAAACUGCGUGGGGCAUGCAAUGAAAGCAGCGAAGCAGCAGGGGCAACACUAUCUAUGGACAAGGACAGUUAGAUUACAGAUUUAACACACACACAAAAUUACGCAGCAACAGCGAGAUGGCUGGAAACCUUGGAAAACCACCAACUGAACAGAACGUCAGUGUUUGGAGAGUCCUGUUUGGGAGCUGGCCACAGAUAGCGUGCAGUAAACUGUUGCCAGACGUGUUGCUUAUUGAUUUUUUCUGAAGAGCCCAUUUGAACUGGAUGUGCAUUCUGAAUCCCCAAUGAGAGUCCCAGCUGGAGGAGGCAAUUCUGGAGGCACUAUACAUAUUACACUUUAGGACUCCAGGGACCGGGAUAGGUUUUUACAAGCAGCUAAAAUGAAGAAAGAGAUCAUAUGGGAAGGUGCUAGGCUCCUAUCGUUUCCGGACAUAAGUCCUAUAACCCAGGGCAAAAGGGAAGAAUUAACUGUGGUUUUAAAAAAAAAAAAGUUGUGAUAUAAAAUGUGUCUGCAUGAGUCUCUCUAGCCUGCCAAACGGCACAUUGUGCACAGUGAGAAAACUGACAUCUUUCAGAAAGUAGACGCAGCUUACAACAAGUCACUGUCGAAAGCAAAGAAGACAAGAGAGAAACUGUAAGAAGUUAGUCAGAGACUAAGGCCUGUGAUUUACCGCCCACCCCAGGGCUUGGAGUGCUGAAACUCUCCCUAUAAAUUAUAAAUGUAUAUAAAUUAAUAAAUGAAC